UGGGGAAUUUUGGACAAUGGGGGCAACCCUGAUCCAGCCAUGCCGCGUGAGUGAAGAAGGCCUUCGGGUUGUAAAGCUCUUUCGGCCGGGAAGAAAUCGCAUGGGUUAAUACCCUGUGUGGAUGACGGUACCGGAAUAAGAAGCACCGGCUAACUACGUGCCAGCAGCCGCGGUAAUACGUAGGGUGCGAGCGUUAAUCGGAAUUACUGGGCGUAAAGCGUGCGCAGGCGGUUUAGUAAGACAGGCGUGAAAUCCCCGGGUUCAACCUGGGAACUGCGCUUGUGACUGCUAAGCUAGAGUACGGCAGAGGGGGGUGGAAUUACACGUGUAGCAGUGAAAUGCGUAGAGAUGUGGAGGAACACCGAUGGCGAAGGCAGCCCCCUGGGCCGAUACUGACGCUCAUGCACGAAAGCGUGGGUAGCAAACA
rnacentral:rRNA from 1 species